rnacentral:lncRNA from 1 species
AUGUUACCAGGAGACCAUGUACCUGUGGACAGGACAGAGGAACAGAGCAACCCGACUAAAGGUAGCGUGUCUUUAAAAUCAGCAGAGGAAAUCCUUUCAGCAUGUGACCCUGUGAACAGAGGAAAUACCAUCCCCACUGACCUCAUCAGCACUCAGCCUCUGCCCGCUGCAGCCCAGCCAGCAGAGGCCUCACAGGAGGCAGCAGGGUUUAAGAAGAAGCAUCACUGUGACCUCCAGAAGCCCACCUGCCCACAAUGUGGCCUUGCAGUCCCAGACCACAGACGGCCUCCUCUCUCCCCGGGCCUCAGCCGACUGCAGGGCUCGAGCAUGUCGGGCAUGUCGGUGCACAGCAACAGCAGCAGGAGGAGCAGGAGGAGCAGGGGCAACAUGGCUGGAUCGCACCAACCUACUGCUACACCUGCUGACUCCUGUUUACAGCUGUUGCUGGCGUGCCUGUCGUGCCAGGGGUCGGUGCUGCUCCUGGGUCUGUUGGAGGCCUGUUCCUCGUGCCUCCACACACUCUGCUCCUCCUGCUGCCACGCCUGCGCGCGCUGCUGUUCGGCCAUCCAGGAGGCGCCCGUGGAGGAGCUCAACUGCAACGCCCACUGCCACUCUGUGCUAUUCGAGACUUGCUGUGAGCCGACCGAAUGUCUCGAGUUUUGUCUGGAGUGCUGUGACAUCUGUCAUCGCAGCUAG